GGAUUUACUUUUAGAUAUUGUUAAUAUUUUGGAAAUAAUCGUGUUUUUAAAAUGUUGGAUGAUGUUGAAAAAAUUUCAAAAAUUAUUCGAUUUAAUAUCAUAUGUGGCAAUUACAUUUACAUCUAAUUCACAAGAAUAAAAUAUCUCAAUCAACGUACAAUGUAUACAAUAACACUGAAUAUAAAUUUAAUAUCUCCAAUGAAUACGAAAAGUGUUCAAUAUUUAUAUGAACCAGUACUCAUAUAGAAAUGUGUUUCAUGUUUUUUUCUACAUACAUACACAAUGUAAUAAUUUCAAGCUUAUAUAAUGCAAAACGGCGCACGUGAUUCUAUAUAUACAUACAUAUGUACAAUCUCAACUUCAGUGGAAAUUUUCAGCGUGUAAUGCACAUGAAUUAAUUUGUUGUCUCUGUGUGAAAAAAAAACAUGAUAAACUAACUUGUGAAUGACCUCAUUCAAUGGACUCUCCUCGAUGAAAGUUUCGAAUCAAUCAACAGAUAUUCGAUUAGUAUAAGGUUAAUGUAUGUGAUUUAAAUGUGGAAUAUCUUAUCACAGAUUUUUAUUGCUUAGAAAUUAUGAUAUAUUUAUUAUAACUAAGAGAAAGAAAUUAUGCAAAUAUAUUUUAUUUUUGUGAAAAAAAAUCAUCUUUUAAAUAAAUUGAAUAUUUACUAAACAUUUUGUAAUUAUAUCACAAAAAUUUAUAAAAUCGUAAAAAGAAAAAAUUUAUUAAUUCAAUAAAUAAAAAGAAAAAUAAUGACAAU